rnacentral:rRNA from 1 species
UACGGAGGGUGCGAGCGUUGUCCGGAAUCAUUGGGCGUAAAGGGUGCGUAGGUGGCAUGGUAAGUUUGAUGUGAAAGCUCAGGGCUUAACCCUGAAAUGGCAUUGAAUACUACUGUGCUGGAGGUUUGGAGGGGGGACUGGAAUUCUUGGUGUAGCAGUGAAAUGCGUAGAUAUCAAGAGGAACACCAGUGGCGAAGGCGAGUCCCUGGACAACACCUGACACUGAGGCACGAAAGCUAGGGGAGCGAACAGG